CAACAAGAGUGAUGAGAAAGUAACCUUAGGCGUGGUUGUGGCCGUCUUGGUCACCUUUUUGCCACUUGCCAGUGUUAGGACUUGUCAUAGUUACACUGACUGUUG
ensembl:snoRNA